UUUUUACUUUGAUUACAGUUCGUUUCAUGGAUUGCUUCCGCCAAAUGAUCGUUAAAAUGGAGCUUACUUCUGUGUUUUGCUUCAUUCAAGUGCUGUAAUAUAAUAAAAUUGCAUAAAGAUUGUGAUUGAGAGUAGUUUUAUGUUAGCAAUGGGAUUUCUAAUGCUUAAUUCAACGGGGCCACCGAUAAAACGAAGGGCGGGUUUGAGGAUAAAACAAGCUGGAAGAGGUUCUUAUCGGGGCAGCUAGAGAAGGCUUUUUAGUGAUAUAAUUUGGCCGUAUUUGUUGUAUGUAUUAGAUAUUUGUGUAUUUAUUGGAAAGUCAAACGAAUGGGAACUACUGCUUUGAGGCAGCUGUUGAAAAGUCUUUGCAAUGAUUCGCUUUGGAAUUAUGCCGUGCUAUGGAAGCUUAGGCAUGAGAGCCCAAUGAUUUUGACUUGGGAA
rnacentral:misc_RNA from 1 species